GGAGCGUUAGUCCAAAACAAGACCCCUGAUUUCGACUCAGCCAAUCGUGGUUAAAGUCCACGACCUCCUU
rnacentral:tRNA from 1 species